UCUGUGUUCCCUUUAGAGGAAGUAAAAGUCGUAACAAGGUCUCCGUAGGUGAACCUGCGGAGGGAUCAUUACAAGUGACCCCGGUUCUGUUGCCUCCGGGGCGACCCUGCCUUCGGGCGGGGGCUCCGGGUGGACACUUCAAACUCUUGCGUAACUUUGCAGUCUGAGUAAAUUUAAUUAAUAAAUUAAAACUUUUAACAACGGAUCUCUUGGUUCUGGCAUCGAUGAAGAACGCAGCGAAAUGCGAUAAGUAAUGUGAAUUGCAGAAUUCAGUGAAUCAUCGAAUCUUUGAACGCACAUUGCGCCCCCUGGUAUUCCGGGGGGCAUGCCUGUUCGAGCGUCAUUUCACCACUCAAGCCUCGCUUGGUAUUGGGCAACGCGGUCCGCCGCGUGCCUCAAAUCGACCGGCUGGGUCUUCUGUCCCCUAAGCGUUGUGGAAACUAUUCGCUAAAGGGUGUUCGGGAGGCUACGCCGUAAAACAACCCCAUUCUAAGGUGACCUCGAUCAGAGUCCGUAGCCGA
rnacentral:rRNA from 1 species